rnacentral:tRNA from 1 species
CGGCGAUGGGGGAGUUGCCGCUGGCGCCGCUGCCGCCGGUGAAGCCUUUCCCGCCGGUGCCGCCGGUGCCGCCGUC